GAUGCUGCAGUGGUGUGAGUGGUCCUUUCACCUGUGGUGUCAUCGAUAAUUCACAGCGAAGCUACUGAGUUUGACUAGACGUUCUCUUGGUCUCUAGCCAUUCGGAUCCUUGCUGUGUAUGUUGGCUACGAUAGGUUCAGAUUCGCUGUUAGGAGUAAGAUGCACCUAAAAAAAAUCUAUCAACCUUGAUAGAAAAAGAAAAGUCUUAUGCG
rnacentral:lncRNA from 1 species